rnacentral:lncRNA from 1 species
GAGGGUCCAGUGCAGCUUUCAUGCAGAAAACAGUUUUCCUGCAUGUUUCAUGUCUUCAGCCGGAGAAUUCACCGGCUUUGCUCGAGGAUGCGGUGGUUGAUAUGGCGGCGUCCGAGGACUAAGGUGGUGAUCAGGAGGUUUGGGAAGCUGAGUUCAAAAGGAAACCAUGGUCAGCUCAAAGAAAAACUAAGUUUCAAAUCAUCAACGACUCAUCCAAAUGGCCAGGCUAGGCAUAUUCGGCUAGCUACCUUUAAUGCUGCAUUAUUUUCCCUUGCACCUGCUGUGCCUAAGGCUGAAAAAUCAGUCAUAUUUGCUCAUGAUGAUGAUGAU